AAGAGUGCCGGGCGGACAUGCAGUGGUUGCAAAAGUUCAUGCCGAUGUAACGCC
rnacentral:lncRNA from 1 species